rnacentral:piRNA from 1 species
UGAGAUUGUCGAUUUCAUUUU